UAUAGAGUGCCUGAUUAAAGGAUAAUCUUGAUAGGAUUAAUCAUGUGCCCCCCACCUCUAUAA
rnacentral:tRNA from 5 species